AGGGCGAGACAAAAGAAAGAAAAAAACUAAUAGGGACGGAAAUAAGAUUAGAGAGAAAAAGAGAGAGGGAUUUAAAGACCUCCCAAAUCUUGGUUGGCCGCCGUUUUCCGCCGGCCCCCGUUCGACUCUCGUCGCCGAGAAGAGUGAAGCGAGAAACCGAGUCACCUUUCGUGCCCUAGGCUUCGGGAGAACCGAGAGAUGGAGGGAUGGGAGGGCUGCCAUGAGUGCCCUCUGUUUUUUUGGUGCCCUCUGCUUGGGAUCGGGCCCUCUGCUUGGGAUCGGGCGGACCCUUUCGUGCCCUCUGCUUGGGAUCGGGCGGACCCGGCAACUCGGACUCGCGCAAGCGAAUGAC
rnacentral:lncRNA from 1 species